AAAAUAUCACAGAUAUCGCGACCAGGGUUUUCAUAAUGAAUUCAUCACCGAUCGCGAUUACAGUUUACACGGCCCGAGUUUAAUAAACAAGGAACUGCUAGAUCCACGUGUGUUUCAAUCAUUAUGCAGUACAUUCUGAAGUGAGGGAAAGCUUAAAGAUAUUGCUUUGUGGUCCGAAUUGAGGGCAAUGAUUCGCAUAAAGCAAAAAAGGAAUGAAGAGAAUCAGACAUUUUAUUUUUCGAAUUCUCACUUACUUGGAUUUGACCAGUUUAAGCAAGCAACAUUAUGCAUAUACCAUACUUCAUUGUAUUCAGUAUGCAUUUAUGCAUUGUUUUUUAUUUACAUUUUUUUGUUGUGUUUCC